CGACGAGAAACCAAGGUGCAUUAUUAGCCACCCAGGCUUUAGAGAAGGCUGUCUCAGUGUUUGGACACUGAAAAUAGCGUAUCUUCAAUACAAACAACAACACAGAGCAGUUGAUGGCCCACUACACCAGAAGUAUCGAUAUACAGCUUAUCGACAGUUUGUACGUUGGUGCUGGGGUGUACUCGGCCCAAAAAUCAGAGUCCCGCUCCUGCAUGUGCUGUAACCGAGAUACGGAAGACUUACCCUGAACCGGGAGGCCGCUAUCAGGGAUUUCAAUGGCCAAAUCUGUAAUUUGACAUAAGUCAUGCAGCUGAACUGGUUAAAAUGGUUUCGCACAAUGUAAAUAAUUUACAAAGUACAUCAUUUACAAUAUUAUUUUUCCAAAGAAACAUGUAAAUAUAACAACAUUUUCCAAAUCACAAGUUUGUAAGAUUGUAUUAAUUUACUGUUUGAUAAAUAAAAAAGGGUUCUUUUGUUAAUUUUUCACUUGUAACAUUUGAUCUUUAUUGCAGUGUACAUUAGUCUAUUUUGGUAUAUGUGCGAGCCCACAAAUAAUUAAAAGUGUUAAAAAAUAAUGAAGAUAUUCAGACGUAAUUCAUUUUUGGCCUUACUUAUUUCACUUCAACUUUUAUAUAUUUCAGUCACUAGGCAAGUUCACUGUACUCUGGUGACAUUUAGCUCAAGCUGGCAUAACACCUGUAGUAACUUAAUUCUGACCCGAGUUUUGUGCACAAUCUUCCAGCACCCAUGAUCAAUGUUUAUAGCAAUCAGGAAACAUUCACAGCUCACAACUACACAUCGCUUCCCCAUCAUGAAUUGUUA